UGGGGAAUAUUGCACAAUGGGCGCAAGCCUGAUGCAGCCAUGCCGCGUGUAUGAAGAAGGCCUUCGGGUUGUAAAGUACUUUCAGCGGGGAGGAAGGCGAUAAGGUUAAUAACCUUGUCGAUUGACGUUACCCGCAGAAGAAGCACCGGCUAACUCCGUGCCAGCAGCCGCGGUAAUACGGAGGGUGCAAGCGUUAAUCGGAAUUACUGGGCGUAAAGCGCACGCAGGCGGUCUGUCAAGUCGGAUGUGAAAUCCCCGGGCUCAACCUGGGAACUGCAUUCGAAACUGGCAGGCUAGAGUCUUGUAGAGGGGGGUAGAAUUCCAAGUGUAGCGGUGAAAUGCGUAGAGAUCUGGAGGAAUACCGGUGGCGAAGGCGGCCCCCUGGACAAAGACUGACGCUCAGGUGCGAAAGCGUGGGGAGCAAACA
rnacentral:rRNA from 1 species